GUCCCCAUCGUCUAGCGGCCUAGGACCUCAGCUUUUCAUGCUGGUAACACGGGUUCAAAUCCCGUUGGGGAUA
rnacentral:tRNA from 1 species